GCGAGUUUGGCUCAGUUGGGAGAGCGCUGGACUGAAGAUCUAGAGGUCCCCGGUUAGAUCCCGGGAAGUCGCA